AUGGGGGCAAAAUUUGCGGUCCGGAACGGCAGAUCCGCGCGCUUCUGGACUGACCUUUGGAUAGGUACUCAACCCCUUUGGAUUGAAUUCCGGGAGCUGUACGAUAUUGCUGUUAACACCGCGGCAUCGGUGGCAGAUGUGCUUGAUGCGACGCCUCCGACGAUUCAGUUCAAGCGAGAGCUCAACGGACCCGAGCAGGCUAGCCUCGUGACCUUGAUGCACUUAAUUGAAUCGGUGGGCCUCUCGGAUCAGCCUGAUUCGGUGAGUUGGGCGCUCACCAACUCCGGGAAAUUCUCGGUAAAGUCCUUAUAUCGCAAGUUGUGUCAAGGGUCGACACAGCCGGUGAUCGCAGGCCUGUGGAAAGCGCGGAUGCCUUUGAAGAUCAAACUUUUCAUUUGGCAACUGUAUCGCGAUAGGCUUCCCACUUCCUUGAACGUUGCCAAACGCAAUGGGCCGGCUACGGGCCCGUGUGCCUUAUGCGGGGAGCCGGAGGACGCCAAUCAUGCUUUCUUUCGGUGCCCUUUAGCAAGGUUUGCAUGGAGUGCCGUUCGGACAACGGCUGGGGCCCUUUGGGACCCGCGUUCGGCGCCGGAGCUCUUCAACCUCCUUGCCGGGAUCAAGGGCUCUGCUUUCUGGGUCAUGUGGAGUUGUGUCGGGGCGCUUCUCUGGGCCUUAUGGCUUACUAGGAACAAGUUCACUAUAGAAGGAUGUUUUCCUAAUCAUCCUGCUAAUAUCAUCUUCAAAUGCAACCUUCUAUUGCAGCAGUGGAGUCCGUUGGGGAGGCGCAAGGAUGCUGAGCUGAUCAAGACUGCCCACCAACGACUAAUGCAAGUGUAUGCGAUGGCUAGGGAGCCAUGA
rnacentral:rRNA from 1 species